GACAUAGGUGGCGAACGUUAUCCGGAAUUAUUGGGCGUAAAGGGCGCGUAGGCGGCUUGGCAAGUGGAUGGUGAAAUCCCUCGGCUUAACCGAGGAACUGCCAUCCAGACUGCUUUGCUUGAGGCCGGGAGAGGUGAGUGGAAUUCCCAGUGUAGCGGUGAAAUGCGUAGAUAUUGGGAGGAACACCAGUGGCGAAGGCGGCUCACUGGACCGGUUCUGACGCUGAGGCGCGAAAGCGUGGGGAGCAAACGGG
rnacentral:rRNA from 1 species